rnacentral:rRNA from 1 species
UACGUAGGGUGCAAACGUUGUUCGGAAUCACUGGGCAUAAAGAGCACGUAGGCGGUUAAGCAAGUCCAUUGUGAAAUCCCCCGGCCUAACCGGGGAACUGCAUUGGAUACUACUUGACUUGAGUGCAGGAGGGGAGAGUGGAAUUCCAGGUGGAGCGGUGAAAUGCGUAGAUAUCUGGAGGAACGCCGGCGGCGAAAGCGACUCUCUGGUCUGUAACUGACGCUGAGGUGCGAAAGCUAGGGGAGCAAACGGG